AGAGUUUGAUCAUGGCUCAGGACGAACGCUGGCGGCGUGCCUAAUACAUGCAAGUCGAGCGAGCUUGCCUAGAUGAAUUUGGUGCUUGCACCAAAUGAAACUAGAUACAAGCGAGCGGCGGACGGGUGAGUAACACGUGGGUAACCUGCCCAAGAGACUGGGAUAACACCUGGAAACAGAUGCUAAUACCGGAUAACAACACUAGACGCAUGUCUAGAGUUUAAAAGAUGGUUCUGCUAUCACUCUUGGAUGGACCUGCGGUGCAUUAGCUAGUUGGUAAGGUAACGGCUUACCAAGGCAAUGAUGCAUAGCCGAGUUGAGAGACUGAUCGGCCACAUUGGGACUGAGACACGGCCCAAACUCCUACGGGAGGCAGCAGUAGGGAAUCUUCCACAAUGGACGCAAGUCUGAUGGAGCAACGCCGCGUGAGUAAAGAAGGGUUUCGGCUCGUAAAGCUCUGUUGGUAGUGAAGAAAAGAUAGAGGUAGUAACUGGCCUUUAUUUGACGGUAAUUACUUAGAAAGUCACGGCUAACUACGUGCCAGCAGCCGCGGUAAUACGUAGGUGGCAAGCGUUGUCCGGAUUUAUUGGGCGUAAAGCGAGUGCAGGCGGUUCAAUAAGUCUGAUGUGAAAGCCUUCGGCUCAACCGGAGAAUUGCAUCAGAAACUGUUGAACUUGAGUGCAGAAGAGGAGAGUGGAACUCCAUGUGUAGCGGUGGAAUGCGUAGAUAUAUGGAAAGAACACCAGUGGCGAAGGGCGGCUCUCUGGUCUGCAACUGACGCUGAGGCUCGAAAGCAUGGGUAGCGAACCAGGAUUUAGUAAUACCCUGGUAGUCCAUGCCGUAAACGAUGAGUGCUAAGUGUUGGGAGGUUUCCGCCUCUCAGUGCUGCAGCUAACGCAUUAAGCACUCCGCCUGGGGAGUACGACCGCAAGGUUGAAGCUCAAAGGAAUUGACGGGGGCCCGCACAAG
rnacentral:rRNA from 1 species